rnacentral:lncRNA from 1 species
UUUGACAGGGUGCAUUACACACAGCUGUGGUGUCUCAUCAAAGCCAGCUCCUGGCUCUCCCUUCUGCAGAAACCAAUCUCUCUUAUAACAUCACUCAAUUCCCUCGUCAUAUUUCUCCUCCUUUCUACCCAAUACAGAGAAGUGUGGUGUGUUAAUUACCUAAUUAACAUAUUUUUUUAAUUAACCUGGCCUUCUCUUUAUCCUGACUAUCCACACCAUAAAGAAUGGUGUCAGGUGGAUCAAUUUACAGCAAUCUUAGCUGUUUACAAGCAUAUAGGCAGCUUAAAACAAAUGAUGCUCUAACAACUGAGCUGCUACAUGAAGGUUCUUGAUAAUAUUUUUCCAAGCAAUAUUUAGAAGAAUUAAGAGACCUCUAGUAUGACUUUAUGGGCAGCUUUAUUCUGAAGGCAUUCUAUGAACAUUUUCAAAUGUUCCAGAACAAAUACAAAGUGCUCUUUUGAGACAUGUCAUCAGGAACAGAUGUUAAUGAGCCCAGACAAUCAGUGUGCCGCAGGAUCAGACAACCAAUCUCUUGUAACUGUAGGGGAUGGGCUUGUUCAAGCAUGCACAGAUAAUGUUCUCUGUGUGGCCUUUAAAAGUGCAUCUGUGUGAUUCUGAAAGUGCUUACCAGCUCUGGGCACCAUGGAAAGUGAGAGCUGUUGUCUUGGGAGGUGCUGGGGGUGUGCAACAACUUUUGAUAUCGACUCCUUUCUUUGUUAGGAAGGAUCUGUACCUCUGAAUCCUAGCUGAGGGCAGGCUGCCUCCAGACAGGAAGAAACCGGCUUCCCAAUGUUCAUCUAGGGGUUUUUCCUGCCUUACAGCUCUUCUUGUGUGUUCUUCACUUUAAAGCAGUGUUAGGGGUUUUCAUCCAUACCAGCACAACCAAAUGUUCAUUGAAGACAGUAGGAGCCCUUCACUAGGUACUACCUGAUGCCUUUACAGUCAGCAUCCAACCCCACAGCACUCGAAAAUUAGGUUCUCUGCAAGUCUUGCAGCUUUGUUUUUUUAGUAAGAGCAUUACUGUUCCAAAACAAAGGGAAAAUAUGAUGAACGCGGAUAGUUGUAUACAUAUAAGUUAAAAAACCCUGACCAAUAAAGAAUGAAAUAAACUGCA